rnacentral:rRNA from 1 species
UGUCCUACGGGGGGCAGCAGUGAGGAAUAUUGGUCAAUGGCCGGAAGGCUGAACCAGCCAAGCCGCGUGAAGGACGAAGGUGCCAAGCAUUGUAAACUUCUUUUGUCAAGGGACAAAAUCAGGCUCGAGAGCCUGACCGAGGGUACUUGAAGAAAAAGCAUCGGCUAACUCCGUGCCAGCAGCCGCGGUAAUACGGAGGAUGCGAGCGUUAUCCGGAUUUAUUGGGUUUAAAGGGUGCGUAGGCGGAUCGUUAAGUCAGUGGUCAAAUUGAGGGGCUCAACCCCUUCCCGCCAUUGAAACUGGCG